UCAGUAGCUAGAAAAUCAGAAAACUAAUCACUGUAUUAAGCAAGUCACACACGGGGAUAGAUCCAAUAAUAUGUUUUCUUCGGCUACAUCCACAAGUAUGAGUAUUUUUUUUUAAUAUACUACUUCCGUUAUAUAUUAGUUGUAACUUUUAGGUGUUAUUUGUGAUACACAAAAUAUUCUAAAGUUACAGCUAACAAAUAACGGAGGUAGUAUUAUUAUAAUAAUAUUUACUCUAUAGAAACUUACUAUCUUUAUAUUUUUCGUUCCAGGUAUUCUUAAAUCCUAAGAUACAUCUACUAUGUUUAAUUUUUUAUUAUUUGCAACAAAAAAAUAUUAUAAAUCUAAUAAAUAAUAUUUCUUUGAUGCAAAUAAUAAGAAACAAAGAUAGAAAUUUCUUCUGGUCCAAAGUUAUCUUCAGUUUCCGGUUGUGACUUGUGAGGGGCAUCCUUGACAAAGAAGGCGGAAAGAAGGCGAGAUGAGUUUCUGUUGUUACGCCGUGAGCGUUGUGGCCGAGUAGACGGUGGUGGUGGUGAUGAUGAUCCAAGGAUCAGAGAAGCCACGGGUGUAGUAACCCGCUGAUUUAUCACCGUAACAGCCCCAUAUUGUCUGCUGCCAAAUUCAUUAUUAUCUGCCAUUGCCCAGCAGCUCAUUUUCCGUUUAACACCUCUCGACCUGGAUGUACCGGGUUUCGCAGCUUGCAAGUCAAGGAUCGCUCGUGCCGCAUGUAAAGGCUUCACCAUGUUUUAACUAUGUUUUCAUGAGUGUAUUUCUGGCUUGAGGUAAUUUUGAGUACAUAUUCCGGAUCGGAAAUCAAAUGCUAGCUCAGAUAGUCAUCUACAUGAUGAUUCUAGAUACGAGAAUGUUUUGAGUGAAAAUAAGUAGUAGUUUUUAAAUAACUUAUACAAGUAAUACUCCGCAUUAUGGUUUCAAUCA